ACCAGCCACCAGCGGACGAGGUGGUAAUCAUUGGCAAUAACUGGCCCCACACCGCUGUUUUGCUCCUCAUAGAGACCUGGAGGUCUCUUAAGGAGAAGUUUGAGUGUCCCACCAUAAAAAAAAAACAAGCUUGGGAGAUGGUUGCGGAGUGCCUCAGAAAGGAAGCAGUUAUUGUGACAUGGCAGAUGUGUGACAACAAGUGGAGGAACCUUAGGCACAG